rnacentral:tRNA from 1 species
GCGGGCAUGAUGGAAUUGGUAGACAUGCAAGAUUUAGGUUCUUGUGCUUUCGCGUUGGGGUUCGAGUCCCCAUGCCCGCACCA